AUGGAACACUUCCUUGACGCCACAAGCCCGGCGCCCCCUGCUACCAUCACCGUCACUAAUGACGGGAAGGAGGAGCAGGUCUUCAACUACGCCCGGUCGAUCGGGUACGCCCAGCAGCAACAAGUACAAGGAUACCUUAUGGGAUCUCUGUCACGUGAGGUUCUUGCGCAGGUCGCUACUCUUCAGACGCCGGCCGAGGUGUGGAGUGCCAUCCACGCCUCUUUUGCUGCCCAGACGCAAGCUCAGAUCGUCAACACCCGCAUCGCCCUCGCCAACCUGCACAAAGGAAACUUGGGCAUGUCCGAGUACCUUGCGAAGAUCAAGGCUUUUGCUGAUGAGAUCGCUUGCACCGGUGAUCCUCUCUCUGAAGGGGAGAUAACCUCCUACGUGCUCAAAGGGCUGGACAUCGAUUACAAUCCGGUGAUUUCAGCCCUGGCUGCACGCGUUGAGCCGGUGACCGUCCAAGAACUCUACAAUUAG
rnacentral:rRNA from 1 species